rnacentral:rRNA from 1 species
GAUGAACGCUGGCGGCGUGCCUAACACAUGCAAGUCGAACGAGAUGCGUAUUGGAAAGCUUCGGCCGGAAGAUACGUUAUCUAGUGGCGGACGGGUGAGUAACACGUGGGUAACCUGCCUUAUGGAGGGGGAUAACAGAGAGAAAUCACUGCUAAUACCGCAUAAGCACACAGUACCGCAUGGUACAGGGUGAAAAGAUUUAUCACCAUAAGAUGGACCCGCGUCUGAUUAGCCAGUUGGCAGGGUAAAAGCCUACCAAAGCAACGAUCAGUAGCCGAUCUGAGAGGAUGACCGGCCACAUUGGGACUGAGAAACGGCCCAAACUCCUACGGGAGGCAGCAGUGGGGAAUAUUGCACAAUGGGGGAAACCCUGAUGCAGCGACGCCGCGUGAGUGAAGAAGUAUUUCGGUAUGUAAAGCUCUAUCAGCAGGGAAGAUAAUGACAGUACCUGACUAAGAAGCCCCGGCUAACUACGUGCCAGCAGCCGCGGUAAUACGUAGGGGGCAAGCGUUAUCCGGAUUUACUGGGUGUAAAGGGAGCGUAGACGGAAUGGCAAGUCUGAAGUGAAAUACCCGGGCUCAACCUGGGAACUGCUUUGGAAACUGUUGUUCUAGAGUGUUGGAGAGGUAAGUGGAAUUCCUGGUGUAGCGGUGAAAUGCGUAGAUAUCAGGAAGAACACCGGAGGCGAAGGCGGCUUACUGGACAAUAACUGACGUUGAGGCUCGAAAGCGUGGGGAUCAAACAGG